UGGAUUCUCCCUUGACUUUUUUUCCCAGAGUUAAUCAAAACGAUUGUGUACUUUGCCAUUGCGCCAUUAUUAUGUUUUCCUCAAGAUUAUUCAAUCAAAUGUGACACACACAGUGACAGUGUGCCUACAUUUAGCUGCAAGUGACUACUAUAGGUUUCAGGUAAAUUUGAUGACCAUAUAAUACAGCUUCAAAAGCAGCAAGAUCUGUGUACCCUCCAUUUAUUUGUAUCGGACAUAAGACAGUACUACAGCCACUCUUAGACGUUGUGAUGUAUUUUGACCUUUUCUUUACUUUUUUGCUUCAUGGCAAUGACCAAUCAGAACUAGUUAUUGUCAUGAUGUAGUUAGUUUUUGGGUGGUGGUGAUGUCAACUUGUACUGGAUUGACUGGUAAUAAUCAGUUCUCUCAAAGUUUGCAUAACUUUCUCUUAGGGAUGUCCGAUAAUAUUGGGCAACCAACAUUAUUGGCCAAUUUUAGCACAGUAAAGUAAUAGCGGUAGGAAUUGUGAUCUGUUUUUCCUCAGAUAAUAAAAACCUGAUCACGCAAUGCCUGAGUUUCACUCAGAUGAUGGUGGUGCCUAGAAUCCAAAUCGCUUGUUAACAGCUGAUCUGAUAGAGGCUUUUCACUUUUUGUCCUUGUUUAUUGUGUGUUUAUGUAUAAACUACUUGCAGGCCACUUGUCAGUGGAAAGUUGGUCAAUCGUUGUUGUGACAAAAUGCUUUACAGCCAAAGAUCUAAGGCUCAAUCCUAUGUUUUCGAAUUAGUGUUGAGGUUGCGUGGUGGAGCCAAUCCUCUGAUGACUGCUGGGAUAGGUCUGGUUUUACCCCAUGUGAUAUUGUGCAGGUCACAUGACAUGUUUGUGUAUGCCAGAAAAAAAUUGAAAUGAAUUAUUUAUUUAUUUUUCCUUCUCAGUUGUUAGACAAUGACUCACAAAUAGUUGAUCUAAGCAUGGACAGCAAUACUGUGAUUACUUUGACCAUCAUGUUUAAUUAAAAUGAUUAGUUACAGCUUAACUAUUGAUGGCAAAGGCAAACAUGGUUGUUCUAACAAACAUGCAUGGGCACGAGUCAAUAUCAGCAAGACAGCCUGUCAGAGUGUAAUCAGUAAUGUAAUUACCUGUGCCUUAAUUUCCUGUCAUUGCAGUUUUUGUUGCAACAGAAGUUAGGCAUUACCCAAGCUGUUUGACCAAGACACUAAGCCAAGACCUUAUGUCCUUUACUUCAACUCUUGCAUGCUUCCCUAAGACUGUAACCCUGCCCUAUGAAGUAAAAUGGUUUACUACGUAUAUUUAAUAUAUGUUAACACUCUGUACCAUACAACAGAAACACAAAAA